rnacentral:rRNA from 1 species
GAGUUUGAUCGUGGCUCAGAUUGAACGCUGGCGGCAGGCCUAACACAUGCAAGUCGAGCGGUAGAGAGAAGCUUGCUUCUCUUGAGAGCGGCGGACGGGUGAGUAAUGCCUAGGAAUCUGCCUGGUAGUGGGGGAUAACGCUCGGAAACGGACGCUAAUACCGCAUACGUCCUACGGGAGAAAGCAGGGGACCUUCGGGCCUUGCGCUAUCAGAUGAGCCUAGGUCGGAUUAGCUAGUUGGUGAGGUAAUGGCUCACCAAGGCGACGAUCCGUAACUGGUCUGAGAGGAUGAUCAGUCACACUGGAACUGAGACACGGUCCAGACUCCUACGGGAGGCAGCAGUGGGGAAUAUUGGACAAUGGGCGAAAGCCUGAUCCAGCCAUGCCGCGUGUGUGAAGAAGGUCUUCGGAUUGUAAAGCACUUUAAGUUGGGAGGAAGGGCAGUAAAUUAAUACUUUGCUGUUUUGACGUUACCGCAGAAUAAGCACCGGCUAACUCUGUGCCAGCCGCCG